rnacentral:misc_RNA from 1 species
AUUAUGUCACAGUAGAUUAAUUGUAUCUACAUAGCAUGCUAAUAAUUAUAUCAUAAAAUAAACCCAGAAAUGAUAAAUUAAUUCCCUUCGUCAUAUAUUAUCUCCUCUCGGGUUAGCCGAGCAUGUUUUCCGGUUGGCUUGUCCUGUCUUUGGGAUGGGGGAAGAUGGUGCAUCCGACUUGUCGGUGGCUUUCCCUCCCACCUCGGAUUGGUUGUGUAGUUUUGGUUUUAUUUGGUUGAUAACAGAACUUGGAUCUUCAUGUAAAGGGUGAUUUGUUCAUGUUCUGCAGGGAGGGGUAAUCAAAGGGGGAUAUUCGUAACUCCGAGGAUUUAUGCUUCUUCUUCUCUAAUGGAAGCUCACCCUUAAUGCUAUACGAGAUUGAAAGGCCAGAGAGCUCUGCUGCGUCACUUUUCCAGAAAGAUUAAGUUGUGCUUCCAAUGUUGAGUGGUGGAGCCUUGAAGAUAAGAUGUUGUUUACGCUUUUGUGUUUCUCUGAGUAGCCUUUGGCUGUUCAGGAUGCUUAAUCGGAGCUUUGGCUGGGGACGAAGAAAUGUUUCUCUUCCCAAUUUCCAAAUCGGUGAUCAAACUGGUUAUGACACAUGGAUGACGGAGCUGUGCUGUCUUGGUUCUAUUCUCAUUUUUGUUCGUUUAGGAUUCUUGGAUUGGGGGUGGACUACCAUGUAUUGGGCUUGUUUUGUUAUAGAGUUUGAUACAUGAGACUCUAAUUUCUCUUAUAACUAGACCCAUUUUGUAAGUUUGCCCUUUUGGCCAUGAAAUGCAAUUGUAAAUAUCUGGAGUUAAAAAAAAAAAUGUUAAUUAAUUGUGUACUUGUUUGUGGUUUGAUUUUCACCAAUAGAUCAGCUGCAACUGAUAGAAAACAAAUAUAACAUCCAAGGGUCAAUGACUUCACAAAAGUAUGGAGUUAUACACAUUUGCAAUUAUGGCUGGAGCUUAAAAUAUUUUGGCCAAGAUUGGAACUAAAGAAAAUGACUCAGGGCCACAAAUGGUUAUUUUUGAAGCUCACGUCAUAUUUGCAAAUUCACAUAAAGUGCAGGCCUUUUUUUCCAAGUCAUUGGCCUAACAAUAAGUACAUACCACAGGCUUAACACCCCCCACCCCCUAUGUAUUGCAAAAUAAUAGGCAUUGAGUGUAAGGGAACUAGUCCACCGGUGCUUUGAAAAAAGAGAAAAAAAAACUAGUCCACCAGUGUACGAAUCGGUUUGCAUGAGAGAAAUGAAAGGAAAAAGUUAACCAGGCCAUACGACAUUUAUCUACUCCUGACACAGUUGUGACUCGAGAGGUCCAGCUAGAUCUAGAGAGUUGGAAAUUUAGAAAAGCAAUCAAAGAUUUGUUUUAUAUCAUUUUAUUUUAUUUUCAGAUUAUCAAGUACCUCUUUAAUCAUUAAUAAGAAAAACUGUUAAAUAGGGGAAUAAACUAUCUCAAGCAUUACAAAGUAAGGCAGCAUUUCAAAGAGGUCAUUAUCUGAGGGUGGAAUAGUGAAGUUCUUGCCCUUUUUUAGACUUUGAAGCUCGCUCUUUUACAGCUUCUAUCACGAUUAAACCUAAAAGGAACUUUCUGUGGCUGAAAAAUAACUGGGAAAAAGCCAUUUUAAUUUUAAAUUUUAAUCCAAAUGCCAGCAGAGUGAUAGAGGACACAUUGUAAUUGAGAAUGAAUACAGUAAUUUAACACAAAUCACAUGCAAAGCUACUCACCCCUGACCCUUUGCCCAACGGGAUAGUUGAUAGAGUUGCACAGUCUCGUUUGAAGCA